rnacentral:rRNA from 2 species
AUGGGCGCAAGCCUGAUGGAGCAACACCGCGUGAGUGAAGAAGGGUUUCGGCUCGUAAAGCUCUGUUGUUAAAGAAGAACACGUAUGAGAGUAACUGUUCAUACGUUGACGGUAUUUAACCAGAAAGUCACGGCUAACUACGUGCCAGCAGCCGCGGUAAUACGUAGGUGGCAAGCGUUAUCCGGAUUUAUUGGGCGUAAAGAGAGUGCAGGCGGUUUUCUAAGUCUGAUGUGAAAGCCUUCGGCUUAACCGGAGAAGUGCAUCGGAAACUGGAUAACUUGAGUGCAGAAGAGGGUAGUGGAACUCCAUGUGUAGCGGUGGAAUGCGUAGAUAUAUGGAAGAACACCAGUGGCGAAGGCGGCUACCUGGUCUGCAACUGACGCUGAGACUCGAAAGCAUGGGUAGCGAACAGGAUUAGAUACCCUGGUAGUCCAUGCCGUAAACGAUGAGUGCUAGGUGUUGGAGGGUUUCCGCCCUUCAGUGCCGGAGCUAACGCAUUAAGCACUCCGCCUGGGGAGUACGACCGCAAGGUUGAAACUCAAAGGAAUAGACGGGGGCCCGCACAAGUGGUGGAGCAUGUGGUUUAAUUCGAAGCUACGCGAAGAACCUUACCAGGUCUUGACAUCUUGCGCCAACCCUAGAGAUAGGGCGUUUCCUUCGG